GGGAUAGCUCAGUGGGUAGAGCAUGAGACUCUUAAUCUCAGGGUUGUGGGUUCGAGCCCGAGUUGGGCCA